rnacentral:rRNA from 1 species
CUUUGAUGGUGAGUCAUGAUAACUGAUCGAAUCGAAUGGCCUUUUUCGAGCCGUCGAUGCUUCCUUCCAAUUUCUGCCCUAUCAGCUUUCGAUGGUMRGAUCUUGGCCUACCAUGGCUAUMACGGGUAACGGGGAAUUABGGUUCGAUUCCGGAGAGGGACCUUGARAAACGGCUACCACAUCCAAGGAUGGCAGCAGGCGCGCAAAUUACCCRAUCCCGACACGGGGAGGUAGUGACAUGAAAUAACAAUAGCGGUCGUUUACACRUCCGCUAAUUGGAAUGAGASUAAUUUAAAGCACUACUCGAGGAGCCRUUGGAGGGCAAGUCUGGU